rnacentral:lncRNA from 1 species
AUCACCACUUUGGCCGGCAGUGCAAACUUGCGUACUAUGGGUUUACCAAACUACUUGAACUUUUUGAAGCCAUACCUGAUACUUUACAAGUAUUGGAAUGUGGAGAAGAAAAGAUCCUUACUCUGACAGAGGUGGAGCGGUUCAAAGCUCUAGCUGCCCAGUUUGUUAAACUCCUUCGGUCCCAAAAAGAUAACUGCCUUAUGAUGACAGAUCUCCUUACAGAAUAUGCUAAAACUUUUGGUUAUACAUUUCGUCUCCAAGACUAUGAUGUCAGUUCCAUUUCGGCUUUAACUCAGAAACUCUGCCAUGUCGUGAAGGUUGCCGAUAUAGAAUCUGGCAGACAGAUUCAGCUGAUCAACCGAAAGUCUCUGCGAUCUCUCACUGCCCAGUUGCUGGUAUUGUUGAUGUCUUGGGAAGGAACCACCCAUCUUUCUGUUGAGGAGCUCAAGAGACAUUACGAAAGUACCCACAACACUCCCCUUAACCCCUGUGAAUAUGGAUUCAUGACCUUGACCGAACUGCUGAAGAGCCUGCCAUACUUGGUUGAGGUUUUCACUAAUGAUAAGAUGGAAGAAUGUGUGAAGCUCACAAGUCUGUAUUUGUUUGCAAAGAAUGUGCGGUCUUUACUUCAUACUUACCACUACCAGCAGAUUUUCCUUCAUGAGUUUUCCAUGGCCUAUACCAAGUAUGUCGGAGAAACUCUGCAGCCCAAGACCUACGGCCACAGCAGCGUGGAGGAGCUCUUGGGAGCAAUUCCACAGGUCGUUUGAGUUCACUCAGUCUCUCCCCUGCCAAUCAUGAAAACCAGCCCUCGGAGGGCGAGCGCAUCCUGGAGGUGCCCGAAUCGCACACAGCCUCGGAACUCAAGCUUGGAGCUGACGGCAGUGGGCCCAGUCACACAGAGCAGGAGCUUCUCCGCCUGACCGACGACUCCCCCGUCGACCUCCUGUGUGCGCCUGUCCCCUCGUGCCUGCCGUCCCCUCAGCUGAGACCAGACCCCGUUAUCCUCCAAUCUGCUGAUCUCAUUCAGUUUGAGGAGCGCCCUCAAGAGCCUUCUGAAAUUAUGAUUUUAAACCAAGAAGAAAAAAUGGAGAUUCCAAUACCAGGAAAGAGCAAAACUCUGACCUCUGACUCCAGCUCGUCCUGCAUCUCAGCAGCUGUCCCCGUGCCUCCCUGCCCCUCCUCGGAAACCUCCGAGUCACUGCUCAGCAAGGACCCCGUGGAAAGCCCGGCCAAAAAGCAACCCAAAAAUAGAGUCAAAUUGGCAGCCAACUUUUCCUUAGCACCUAUAACCAAGCUUUAACUCCCAUUUGGAAUAUAGAAUUAGGAUGGGAAAACACUGUCUGAUUCUGCACACAAAAGUGGGUUUCAAAAAUACAUCCUUUUCUGUGUCAUGAAAACCCCCCGAAGCCAUUGACUUCAUCUUACCUGUGUUCUAUCAUGUUUUUCUUUUCCAUUGAACACAGCUUUGAGCUGAAGUCUUUCUUUUCUUCUUCCUUUUUCUUUCUUUUUUCAAUUAUUUGAAGAACUUGUGGCAUUUGUUAAAGAAUCCUUAAUAUAUUUUACCAAAUUUUUAGUAACUAUUAUGAAAUACAAUGGUGUUCC